UUGGUUUCAGAUUGAAGGAUUCAAUAUUACAGUCGUGGUGAGACACCGAUUUUUGAAGGUUUGGCAUAUCAGUAUCCUGGUGAUCGGCUCGCUUAUUGCCCACAACCUCGACGUCCAACGGCUUUUAACUUCUUUUACUACUGUUAAGAACUCAGGCGCCUGCGUCAGGACAUUACCCAUCGCACCAUAACAACAAUAUACGG